AAAGGAGGGAGUGGCAGAAAACGUGAGGUGGGAAUCAAAUCAUGCUGGGCUUUUUGGCCAGCAAACUUGGAAAUCAUGUCUUAGAGAUCAAGGAGCCAAGAGAUGAGACAAGCCUGGGUUCCUAGGUGAUAGGGUGUGGCUGUGUCCCCACCCAAAUCUCGUCUUGAAUUGUAGCUCCCAUAAUCCCCACAUGUUGUGGAGGGACCCUGUGGAAGAUUGUGCCUGCAGCCUGGCCUGUUGCCCACAGCGGUCUACCUGCCACACUGGGAAAGAUCGAGCAGAGACAGAGAAGAAAAGGAGGCUCCAUUUUUCAGGCUGCUCUCCCGCAGGCUCAUGUUUUGUGUUCAUGCCAGGCAGAGAACACAAAAUGUUCCAAUAAAUAAGUAUCAAAGAACAAGCAGACUCCAGUCGUAUGUCCCUGAUAUAGCUGGAGGAUCAGGUACCAGCUUUUCUAUACCUUGGCCUGAAGAUGAAUGAUAAAUCUUGCACUCACAGCCCAUUGGCCAUCACCAGUUGGUAACUGUGAAGGAACAGGAGGCAUCUACUUGUUUCCAAAGUUAUUUGGGUCAGCAUUUUCCUCCACCCACCACUUAAAACUGAUUUGUUUCAUACAUUUGAAAUGUAUGAAAAGCCAGAAAUCCAGGACCCACCCUGGCCUGCUCCCUUUUUCUCACCUACUGUGUUAAGGAUAAGUCAAUUGAGCUUCACUUCUCUAAUUGAAAUCACCGUGCUGAUGGAGUCUGUCUGUGGAAAUGAAAGGUGGCUACCAUAAUCUGUUGGGAGUUGAAUUAAUCCUCUGGGAGUGAGGCUGACCUAAUUACUCAGAAAUACUGGGCUUGCUUUCAUUCUGUGGAAUACAGCCAUGAGAAAGAGGCCAGCAUGCCAUUUCCUAAUCUUUUCUUGAAUUGCCUGAAACUCACCUAACAUGAAACUGAGAAGCCUUUUCAUUUGAAAGUGGUAUUUCUUAUGUUUUUUAUCUUUUUGCUUGAAAGUAUUCUUAAACUAAAGAAAGGAGAAACAGAAAAGGUGAAGAAGCCAAGAGGCUGGAGUUUCCUUUUGAAUGGAUAUUCAUCCAUGAAGCUGUUGAUUCUGUUUUUCUGUUCCUCCAGAUGUCUACACUUUUACCUCUGCUUGCCUGAUACAACCACCACCAGUCACCUCACAGAAUAACUCACUCCUUAAGAAUCUGAUCAGGAAUCAGCCUUCCCUGAUCACAAACACUGAGUUUAGAAGUCCCUCCACAGUGUCCCCCGUAACCCUGUGCUACCUCACUGCCUCAUAGUUUAGUGCCGUUUGUGUACAUGCCUAUCUUCGUCCAUGGAUCCAGAACAACUUGUAAAAAUGACUGUACUUAUCACCUUCAGUAUUCAAUGACUAAACUAUAAUUUUAACAUAUCUGGCAGAAUGAAUCACUUGGGGAUUUCUGCCAACACUACCAAUAUAUUACUCCUAAUUUGUAAUUAUUACUUAGCAUGGAUUAUAGUACCGGCUGUUGGAGAGCCAAUGUGGCAGACCCUAAGUGGAAUAAAAUGUCAGUAGCAGUCUAGGAGCAUAUAUUUAUUGGAAUAGAUCAUUCAUUCAUUUGUUCAUUAACUAAUUUGUUCAUUAAAUAAACAUUUAUUAAGCACUCA
ensembl:lncRNA CCDC26 CCDC26 long non-coding RNA